CCAUACCCCAUCAAAGCUCAGUUCCACCCCUGCCAGUGGGAAUUGGAGUUGACAAGCGGCACAGAUUAUAUAAUUGGUUUCUGAUUGCGGAUAUGUUUGCCACAUGAGGAAAUGGAGAAGAAGCGCAGGUCUUCAUCUGGCUCGAGAGAAGGAUCUGGGUGGCCGAUAAAGGAGGCAGCUUGUCCAACAUGUACAGUGCUAUUGCAGGUUCAGGUUCCAAUCUCAGGAUAAGAGACCAUUGAGUGCGGGGUUUGCCAAAAUCCUUUCCUUGUUAGCUCUUGCAUUGAUCAUCUUUACCCGCUGUUCUUUGGUUCCUUUGAUACAUCUUGCUCAUGUUUAG